rnacentral:rRNA from 1 species
AUGCUUUGUGUCAGAUAUCUGAUAUUUGUGAGGGGAACUUCAAAUUUUUUUUCAGUUCAACUUUUGAAUGUGUUUCAGUUUGUCUACUUCCCGGUCGUCCUGAGCUGGAGAAUUGCUGCUACUGUUUAUGUGUUUGCAACUGUGAUUGAUGCACUACAUUUCAAUUUCGCAUGUAGUUCAAAGAUUGUGGUCAGUCCAGCUCCUGCAACCAACACAGGCCGUUGCCCCUUUUGCCACAACGGCAGCAGCACAAACAUUAGUGUGGUCGUCCUCAACCAGUUCCUCACGCGGCCUCCGCGCAAGCCCUGCUCAUUUCAACAGGGGCGUGGGGUUCAGUUCGAAAGGUGA